rnacentral:rRNA from 1 species
CAACUUGAGAGUUUGAUCCUGGCUCAGAAUGAACGCUGGCGGCAGGCCUAACACAUGCAAGUCGGACGGGUGCCUUCGGGUGCUAGUGGCGGACGGGUGAGUAACGCGUUGAGAAUCUGCCAUCAGGUCUGGACAACCACUGGAAACGGUGGCUAAUACUGGAUGUGCCCUUAGGGGUGAAAGGUUA